rnacentral:tRNA from 1 species
UAUUUUCAUAUUAUUAUAAAAUAAAAUUUACAUUUUCAAUGUAAAUAAUAAAUAUUUUUUGUAAAUAU